CCAAAGGCAGGCGCCAAACCGCUGCGCCACCCAAGGAUCCCAGGAGUAGGGGACCUUAAUUUUUGUCUGGUCCCUGGAAUUCAGCUAGAUAGUUACCAAAUCUUUCUGAACACCUGCAAAAUCAACCAGAGAUCUGAGAAAAGAAUUGCUGCAAUUCUACAAACAGAAAAGUGACCACUUUUUGGAAGUUCCCUAUGAAACCUCCAUGUUGUUGAUGAGGAAGCAAAGAAAAUUUGCUCUAGAACUGGACUGCUUGUGAGAAUAUCCUUGUCUGGAAUCAGACUCCACCACAUUCUCUGGGGCCCAGUGAGAGGGGAAAGAAAUAAAAAAAGUAAUUUACUGACAACCCAGAUCAUGUCAUCAUAACCUCACAUUAAUAUAAUUACCCCCACAAUAAAGACAAAGCAUGAAAUUAGUCUGACAAAAAUUUAGCUUUUUGUAUGUUCAAACUUCAUUUUUAAGCUUAUUUUUAAAUUUUUAAAAAAGAUUUUAUUUAUUCAUGAGAGACACAGAGAGAAAG